CUACGUGUCUAGGAGGCCUCAUCUCGUAAGAGCUGUGAGACGCUCGCGUGUUCCGUUACGCGGAGGACAGCCAAGCGACGGGAGUUCCAGAAGAGGAAGGGAGGAGAGAAGGAGAAAGAAGCGUCUGAGCUGGCAAGGUCUCCUGGCAGCUCCAAGAGCGAGAGCUGCGGUGGAUGUCAGCUGCCACCAUUUCACCGUGGUUGCCCUUUCUUCUGCCGUGAAAGUACAAGACAGAUGGAAAGAUUCCGCAGUGGUCUGCAAGUACAAGGUACGCCUACGAUGUGUGUCUGCAUUUUUCCAAAGGUACUUGUAGUAUGGACUUUAAAGUUAACAUUAAGAAUGUGCCAACUCUCCUUCCACAUUUUUUCUGUGAAAUAUUUUAAUACGAAUACUAAAACUAAGGUCUGUUCUGGAGCACGUUACGCCUACGCCAGGUUGACUUCCCUCUGUCUAUUUCCUCUUCCUGAAAGCACGUAAUCUUCUGUUUCCGUGCGCUUACUAGUAAAUGAUACCGUGAAAAUAAUUUUGUACUAAAAGAGGGGAGAAACUGUUCGUAAGAGUUCAGCUGUUCAGAAGAAACGGGCUUUGUUUUCACGAUAAAAGCUUUAUGCUUCUGCAGUCAAUGAGUUUUUUUAAAUAUCUUACAGGAGUACUCGACAACCUUACUGAGAUAACUAGCACCUGUACUAAAAGCAAUCAAGGUCAAAGAAGAGACGCGGACAAAACAGGACAAACUGGCGUCGCUUCCGUGUGUUUUCCAGGUUUUCCCAGGAAGCAUCAGCAGCCUUGUAACUAGUGACAGUGAGUCCUGAGGUGGUUUUGGUGAGUUACUGCUUCAAUAAUGUAUUUUUAUUGGAUGUAUAUAAACAUGGGCACACCCUUUUAGUGUAAAGUGAAUUGUUGAGAUUUAUUCUUUAUUUUUCAUUUUGCUUUUUGAAGUUUUCCACUUCACUUUCAGCUUUAUUCACCAAACGAGCAAGAUGCAAAGCAGCAGCAGCAGCGCAAGGGCUGUAGCUGUUGCGGUGGAUCCGUAAGCGUAGAUUCUGAUUGCGUACGACCUCGUCCCGCAGCCUCCCAGGGUUAUCUCCCUGCAGCAGUGCUGUAAGGAAGGGAGGAGACGUUUUCCAACACCGGCAAGAGUGUUUACUUGUAUGCUAAGAAGGUGUUCAAAAUGGUAUCGAUUAGCCUAAAUGCUGAUUUUAAGCGUUCAAAUCGCUCUUAACUUUUAAAGGAGGUGGUGUAUUUCGAGCUGACCUGUUUACCUGGAAUCCUCCUUUAGCUCAGCGACUCUUCUUGUGCACCCCCAGCCUCCGCUGGCAGGGCGGUAUGAGAAGCUGGAAGGUCCUUGACUUAGUAUAAACACUGCUUAGCAACAACUAAA